GUGCGGGCGAUACGGGCAGACUUGAGUACUGCAGGGGAGACUGGAAUUCCUGGUGUAGCGGUGGAAUGCGCAGAUAUCGGGAGGAACACCGGUGGCGAAGGCGGGUCUCUGGGCAGUAACUGACGCUGAGGAGCGAAAGCGUGGGGAGCGAACAGGAUUAGAUACCCUGGUAGUCCACGCCGUAAACGGUGGGUACUAGGUGUGGGUUUCCUUCCUUGGGAUCCGUGCCGUAGCUAACGCAUUAAGUACCCCGCCUGGGGAGUACGGCCGCAAGGCUAAAACUCAAAGAAAUUGACGGGGGCCCGCACAAGCGGCGGAGCAUGUGGAUUAAUUCGAUGCAACGCGAAGAACCUUACCUGGGUUUGACAUGCACAGGACGCCGGCAGAGAUGUCGGUUCCCUUGUGGCCUGUGUGCAGGUGGUGCAUGGCUGUCGUCAGCUCGUGUCGUGAGAUGUUGGGUUAAGUCCCGCAACGAGCGCAACCCUUGUCUCAUGUUGCCAGCGGGUAAUGCCGGGGACUCGUGAGAGACUGCCGGGGUCAACUCGGAGGAAGGUGGGGAUGACGUCAAGUCAUCAUGCCCCUUAUGUCCAGGGCUUCACACAUGCUACAAUGGCCGGUACAAAGGGCUGCGAUGCCGUGAGGUGGAGCGAAUCCUUUCAAAGCCGGUCUCAGUUCGGAUCGGGG
rnacentral:rRNA from 1 species